AGUACCAUAUACUCUAUUGAUCAUACAUGACAAGGUAGGAAUCCCCAAGCUCCUCCCCUUCCUCAGAGGGUCUACAAUAUAAACUGUGGAGGUUGGGAGCUUCUCAGUAUGUUGGCAGAUGAGUUGGGGCAAGGACUCCCCAGCAACUGAGGGCCUCUGUCUUCCUCUUGCUCUUGCUGAGGCUGGUGGUCCAGGGGGGUCUUACUCCUUGGAGGCCAUGUGGACCAUAAGGUCCACCACCCAGUUGCUGAAGCCAAAUUCACUGUGUCAAGGAAACGAGCUUGACACAGUGGUCAUUGAGAGCAAUGCCAGUCCCAGCAUCAAACGUGUAAGAGUGAGUGUUACUGUGAAAGUCUCAGUAGACAACCUGGUCCUCGGUGUAGUCCAGGAUGCCCUUGAAGGGGCCCUCUGAUGCCCGCUUCACCACUUCCUUGAUGUCAUUGUAUUUGGCAGCUUUCUCCAGGCAGGGGGU
rnacentral:lncRNA from 1 species